UGCAUUCAGGUCGCGUUGCGUUCAGGUCGUGCUGCGUUCAGGUCGCGUUGCGUUCAGGUCGCGUUGCGUUCAGGUCGUGUUGCGUUCAGGUCGUGUUGCGUUCAGGUCGUGUUGCGUUCAGGUCGUGUUGCGUUCAGGUCGUGCUCCGUUCAGGUCGUGUUGCGUUCAGGUCGUGUUGCGUUCAGGUCGCGCUGCGUUCAGGUCGUGUUGCGUUCAGGUCGUGUUGCGUUCAGGUCGUGUUGCGUUCAGGUCGUGUUCCGUUCAGGUCGUGCUGCGUUCAGGUCGUGUUGCGUUCAGGUCGUGUUCCGUUCAGG